rnacentral:rRNA from 1 species
UACAGAGGUCUCAAGCGUUGUUCGGAUUCAUUGGGCGUAAAGGGUGCGUAGGUGGCGCCGUAAGUCAGGUGUGAAAUUUCGGAGCUUAACUCCGAAACUGCAUUUGAUACUGCGGUGCUUUGAGGACUGGAGAGGAGACUGGAAUUUACGGUGUAGCAGUGAAAUGCGUAGAGAUCGUAAGGAAGACCAGUGGCGAAGGCGGGUCUCUGGACAGUUCCUGACACUGAGGCACGAAGGCCCAGGGGAGCAAAACGGG